AGUGAACGCUGGCGGUAGGCCUAACACAUGCAAGUCGAACGGCAGCACAGUAAGAGCUUGCUCUUACGGGUGGCGAGUGGCGGACGGUUGAGGAAUACAUCGGAAUCUACUUUUUCGUGGGUGAUAACGUAGGGAAACUUACGCUAAUACCGCAUACUACCUACGGGUGAAAGCAGGGGAUCUUCUGACCUUGCGCGAUUGAAUGAGCCGAUGUCGGAUUAGCUAGUUGGCGGGGUAAAGGCCCACCAAGGCGACGAUCCGUAGCUGGUCUGAGAGGAUGAUCAGCCACACUGGAACUGAGACACGGUCCAGACUCCUACGGGAGGCAGCAGUGGGGAAUAUUGGAAAAUGGGCGCAAGACUGAUCCAGCCAUACCGCGUGGGUGAAGAAGGCCUUCGGGUUGUAAAGCCCUUUUGUUGGGAAAGAAAAGCAGCAGGUUAAUACCCCGCUGUUCUGACGGUACCCAAAGAAUAAGCACCGGCUAACUUCGUG
rnacentral:rRNA from 1 species